CUUGAUGCCAAUCACUUGCACAAGCACAUCGUUAUGUGCUAUUUAAUGUUGACUCGGUCACUCGUUUUCGAGAGGAGCAUAAAAGAAUAGUCAAGGGUCAACAUCGGCGGUUACCAAUGUACGAAAUUGAUAAGAUUCAUAGUCAAUAAUUUAGUGAAUGGUUUAAGAAUCGGGUCGCAUUAAUGGAAGAG